AUUGAACGCUGGCGGCAUGCUUUACACAUGCAAGUCGAACGGUAACAGGGUGCUUGCACCGCUGACGAGUGGCGAACGGGUGAGUAAUGCGUCGGAACGUGCCGAGUAGUGGGGGAUAACGCAGCGAAAGUUGUGCUAAUACCGCAUACGUACUGAGGUAGAAAGUGGGGGACCUUCGGGCCUCACGCUAUUCGAGCGGCCGACGUCUGAUUAGCUAGUAGGUGAGGUAAGAGCUCACCUAGGCGACGAUCAGUAGCGGGUCUGAGAGGAUGAUCCGCCACACUGGGACUGAGAGACGGCCCAGAAUCCUACGGGAGGCAGCAGUGGGGAAUUUUGGACAAUGGGCGCAAGACUGAUCCAGCCAUGCCGCGUGUCUGAAGAAGGCCUUCGGGUUGUAAAGGACUUUUGUCAGGGAGGAAAUCCUAGUGGCUAAUAACUGCUGGGGAUGACAGUACCUGAAGAAUAAGCACCGGCUAACUACGUGCCAGCCGCCGCCGUAAGAC
rnacentral:rRNA from 1 species